UACGUAGGGGGCUAGCGUUGUCCGGAAUCAUUGGGCGUAAAGAGCGUGUAGGCGGUCCGGUAAGUCCGCUGUGAAAGUCGGGGGCUCAACCCUCGAAUGCCGGUGGAUACUGUCGGGCUAGAGUGCGGAAGAGGCGAGUGGAAUUCCUGGUGUAGCGGUGAAAUGCGCAGAUAUCAGGAGGAACACCUAUUGCGAAGGCGGCAUCCUGGACCGACAUUGACGCUGAGGAGCGAAAGCUAGGGGAGCAAACGGG
rnacentral:rRNA from 1 species